GGUCCCAUCGUCUAGUGGCCCAGGACACCACCCUCUCAAGGUGGAGACACGGGUUCAAAUCCCGUUGGGACUA
rnacentral:tRNA from 1 species